rnacentral:rRNA from 1 species
GUUGAACGCUGGCGGCAUGCUUUACACAUGCAAGUCGAACGGCAGCGCGGGGGCAACCCUGGCGGCGAGUGGCGAACGGGUGAGUAAUGCAUCGGAACGUAUCCUGUAAUGGGGGAUAACUAAUCGAAAGAUUAGCUAAUACCGCAUACGCUCGGGAGAGGAAAGUGGGGGAUCGCAAGACCUCACGUUAUAGGAGCGGCCGAUGUCUGAUUAGCUAGUUGGUGAGGUAAAGGCUCACCAAGGCGACGAUCAGUAGCUGGUCUUAGAGGAUGAUCCGCCACACGGGGACUGAGACACGGCCCAGACUCCUACGGGAGGCAGCAGUGGGGAAUAUUGGACAAUGGGCGGAAGCCUGAUCCAGCCAUGCCGCGUGUGUGAAGAAGGCCUUUUGGUUGUAAAGCACUUUAAGCGAGGAGGAGGCUCUCCUAGUUAAUACCUAGGAAGAGUGGACGUUACUCGCAGAAUAAGCACCGGCUAACUCUGUGCCAGCCGCCGCAGUAAGAC